UAUGACCAUAUCGCAUUGAAACACUGGUUCCGAUGUGAUCACUGAAGUUAAGCAAUUUUGACCCUGGUCAGUACCUAGAAGGGUGACUACUUGAUAAUACCAGCUGCUGG